GCUUAGGUGGCAGAAGGGUAGUGCGAUGGGCCUAAGACUCAUUCAUAAGAGAUUCCUCUUUCUAAGUU
rnacentral:tRNA from 1 species